GGGGUCUUAGGUCCAGUUCAUACAUGGUCCUUGGUUGAUGUUUCAGUCUCAGCAAGACCCCAUAUAUUAAAAUUGUAAUGAUACAGAUCGGAGAAGAUUAACAUGGUUCCUGCACAAGGAUGACAUACAAAAUUGUGAAUAAAUUUAUCUUAUU
rnacentral:snRNA from 1 species